rnacentral:tRNA from 1 species
GCCCCGGUAGCUCAGCUAGGUAGAGCGGCAGCCUUGUAAGCUGCUGGCCGCGGGUUCAAAUCCCGCCCGGGGCU